CAUACACACAUAUAGGUAUUACAAAGAUAUAAAGUUGAUCAUGAACUUUACAAUUGUGCUCGAGGGAUUCUUUACAUCUAGAAAUCCAAAAGCUGUCAUAAGUCAGAUCUGAGAGAAAACGAUCUACUUACCAUGGUGAAGAGCGCGACGGCAGGGAGACAAGCGAUGACGCAACAUUCCAAGAUAAGUAUAGCUGUUCUCAUGAGCCAAUUCAAGGACACGACACAGGGCGAGCCAUCGACGCAGGAUUCGCAACCCUCCGCGCAAGGAAGACACUCGAAGGAAUCUUCGACGGCGUAUUGACUUUCUUCGCCCUGCAAAAGGACCGUCGGGAAUCUUCGAGUUAACUUCUGUCGCGUUUGCCGAUGCAUCAUUCUGACAGGUUCUCUAAACUUUUGCCUGGACCAUCCAUCUCGUAACAUCAUCGAAUCCUUUGCUUAUUCGUUUGUUCUCUGAGACCGAUGAAUCUUAAUAAAACCUUCCACGAAAUGCGCGAGUCCGAGAUUAACACUUAAAAAUUAACGCUUAAAAAUUAUCAUUUCUUUUAUUAUUAAAAAAACUAACAUAAUAAAGUAACAACUACGAUAAUGUAUUGGCCAACUUUUGAUUUCGACAUAUUAACGAAAUCGUAACUAUGUUAAACUCUGACAAUUAUUGCAUGAUCGAAAUGUAAAAUUUGUCAACGAUCAGACACAAUUUCUUCUUAUUUGGAUUUAACAAAUUUUUAGAAGGAUAAACUUUUUUUAUUAGAAAAUAUUUCUCUUUCAAUUUUUGUAGUAAGAGAAAAAGAGGUUAAAGAAUAUCCGACAUAAUAUUCUGACGAAUGUAAGAUAAAGGAAUGCAUUAAAAGUUGAAUGAGAGUUGGGAGUUUAUUCGUGGUAUCGGAUUUCUUGACGAGAAACGCGAAAAAUGUUAACUCUAAUGCCUUUUAAAAAAGAAAUAUUUAUAAGUAUAUAAGCCGCUGUAGUAGUCGUUGGAUUUAUCUUUAUUUCAGUCAUCCACUUUCUUUCUUGCUCUUACGUAUUUCAAAAGAAUCAAGAGGUAAGAUACUCGACUUGUCAACAAACGAAGGUUUUCGUCUUUGCGUUUGGGUUAGGUCUUACCGAGAAUCAAGAAAAGUCUUGUGCAUUUUAUUCUAUGAUAUAAAUUCCAAAGGCAACAAGGAAAAAGAUUCUUUGUCAUUAGAAGAUUUAAACUUUCGCUUAUAAAUUGCACCGCAAUGUUAGCUUCUUUCUCAAAUCCACGUAACUAUUUUUCCUUUUUUUCUUUUUUCCUUCUUCUCCCUUUUUUUUCUUUUUUCUUUUUUUUUUUUUUUUUUUUUUUUUUUUAUUUCGUUUUCUAACAACUAAUAAUUCAUAAUUGACCGCGAACGCAACCAAAUUCGUGAAAGAAUGAAAAGUGGGAAAAACAUUUGACGUCGUCAUGAAUUAUUUUACUUUUAUCUCGUUCAAAUACAUUAUGAAAAAUUCGAUAAAAAGAGAAUUCUCAAUAGGUCAACGUUGGAAUUGGAAUUUUGAUACCAAUGGACUAAUAAAUGUGAAAAAAGUAACAAGUAUUUCUGAACUACGUUGAUACUCUCGAAUAAUCCAAUAAGCUCCGAGCUGCCGAUUGGCUUUUUUCUUUUUAUAAAACAAGAAAACAAUGACUCGUCGUUACGUUCAUUCAAGUUAUAGGGAACGUUGCCGAGUGGGAAAGUAGUUUUUCCUAUUAUCGGAAAAAUAUGGAUUCCUGUUAGAAACGCAAUCUUAAUGGAUUAGUUUUCGAGAAAUAAAUAUUCGAAGAUUUUCAGUUCUCGAUAUUAUUAAAAUUUGCGAUUUUAACGUUACGUGAUAGGAGGAAAAAAUAAUUCAAUUUAAUUUCUUGAAAAAGAAAAAAUAAAAAAAAAAAAAUAAAAAUAAAAAAAUAAAAAAAAAACGUACUUUCACGUUCUCCACAUUUCGUUUUAAAGAGGAACAAAAAGAGAGUAAUGCUCGAUGAACGAUGUACUUUCAUAAAAUCUAUUGUCUAAAUUACAAAAGCUCUUGAUUUUAUUAUUUCGCUAUUCAAAAAGAGAGGAAAAAGAAAUUCUAGAAAUUAUAAAUGUCUACAAAUGAAAAUUUCUACAAAAUUUUUCAUAUUCGAGCAUAAUGUGAAAUCGAAUUCAUUAUGUUCUUUAAUCUCGUUUCCGCUUUUCAUUCGUUUUAUGUUUCCCACACAUUUUAUUUACAAGUUAGCCGUAGAAACAUUUAAAUACUAUUUCCAAUUAUCUUCCAUUAAAUUAUUAAAAAAUUAUUUACAUAGCAUAAUAUAAUUUUGAAAAAAAUAAAAUUUAAUAAUAUCAAAUUUUAUACGAUUUUAAUGAUUAUUAAAGGAUUCAUUGAUAUUU